rnacentral:rRNA from 1 species
CCUACGGGGGGCUGCAGUGGGGAAUAUUGCACAAUGGGCGCAAGCCUGAUGCAGCCAUGCCGCGUGUGUGAAGAAGGCCUUCGGGUUGUAAAGCACUUUCAGCGGGGAGGAAGGCGGUGAGGUUAAUAACCUCAUCGAUUGACGUUACCCGCAGAAGAGGCACCGGCUAACUCCGUGCCAGCAGCCGCGGUAAUACGGAGGGUGCAAGCGUUAAUCGGGAUUACUGGGCGUAAAGCGCACGCAGGCGGUCUGUCAAGUCGGAUGUGAAAUCCCCGGGCUCAACCUGGGAACUGCAUUCGAAACUGGCAGGCUAGAGUCUUGUAGAGGGGGGUAGAAUUCCAGGUGUAGCGGUGAAAUGCGUAGAGAUCUGGAGGAAUACCGGUAGCGAAGGCGGCCCCCUGGACAAAGACUGACGCUCAGGUGCGAAAGCGUGGGGAGCAAACAGGAUUAGAUACCCGAGUAGUC